AGGCCCGCUCCAAUCUUCCAUACAGCCAUCGUCACAUAUACCAGUGAUCCGGUCACAACUACCAUUUCUACCACAGUACAAGGUACAGCUGUCCUGACAGUUGAUACCGAAAUAUCCUCUGGGGCAUACUGAAGGGAGGUGAUAAUUCUACAUUGAUCCAGUGCCUUUUUAUGGGAUUUGAAACUGUGACUGAGAUGUCUGAGAGUUUGACUUCUAGGCGGACAAUUCUACUUUCACUUGAAACGGAUGGCAAGUGCCUGGGUGUAUCUCGACCCAUUUCCAGGCUAGCAGCAGAUGUCAUGAUGAACCUUUAAAAUCUUUCACAUGUGUACUUUGAAGAACUAUAUACAUUAUUUUUGAAAAUUGGUUGCCAUCGUAAUAAAAUCUGAAAAUUAACA